AUGAAGCACGAGGCGUUGGAGUUUGACUCGAAGACGCAAGAGUCUGAGCUUGCCGCGGCCCUCGAGAGCGCAAAGAGUGCCAAGGCCGAAGCCCAAAAGGCCCUCCAAGAGAUUGACGCGAUGAAGAAAAUAGCGGCGGGUAAGGCAUUCUAUAUGCAAAGCAAGCAUGUGAGAGUAAAUUACCUAUUACUUACCCGAAUCCGGAGCUCUCCAGGAGCAUUCGCAGAUUUUCCCCACAGCAUGUCGGAUGCCGCACAGUUUUACCAGGCCGAGGAGGGAAGCUCAACGGAGAAGCUGUUCUGGUCUCAGUAUACUAGGACCGAACACCCGAUGCCUCUGAGCGACCAGCUAAAGCAGCUGGUCGAGAUACAAAAGGCGGCCGAACAUGCCAUGAAGGGCCUUAUAGUCCGGCUGUGGCCUGGCGACGCCCUUCUGAACAGCUACUUAGGUCUGGUGAGGCGGCUUGUGGAUGCCUGCCCACGGCUGGAAGUCGUCAAGUGGUCCAUCUGCAUCGAAGGUGCACGCCGGGCUUUCGACUGUGUGAAGGUGCAAUGGGCCAAGCUAGACAUCGUGAAGCUGAUCAAGGAAGGACCGUCGCGGGGCAAGGAGCAUCACACCCCUGAAAUUUAUUAUGAGGGUGUCCUAAAGGGUGCCCAUCUUGUAGCGGACGAAUGUCCAAAGGAUGUAAUAUUUGAGUAA
rnacentral:rRNA from 1 species